UUUAAAGACAUCGAUAUACGGAUUUCUCCUGAAAAAAC
rnacentral:rRNA from 1 species